AUUGAACGCUGGCGGCAGGCCUAACACAUGCAAGUCGAACGGCAGCACAGAAGAGCUUGCUCUUUGGGUGGCGAGUGGCGGACGGGUGAGUAAUGUCUGGGAAACUGCCCGAUGAAGGGGGAUAACUACUGGAAACGGUAGCUAAUACCGCAUAACGUCGCGAGACCAAAGUGGGGGACCUUCGGGCCUCACACCAUCGGAUGUGCCCAGAUGGGAUUAGCUAGUAGGUGGGGUAAUGGCUCACCUAGGCGACGAUCCCUAGCUGGUCUGAGAGGAUGACCAGCCCCACUGGAACUGGGACACGGUCCAGACUCCUACGGGAGGAAGCAGUGGGGAAUAUUGCACAAUGGGCGCAAGCCUGAUGCAGCCAUGCCGCGUGUAUGAAGAAGGCCUUCGGGUUGUAAAGUACUUUCAGCGGGGAGGAAGGCGGUGAGGUUAAUAACCUCGCCGAUUGACGUUACCCGCAGAAGAAGCACCGGCUAACUCCGUGCCAGCAGCCGCCGUAA
rnacentral:rRNA from 1 species